UACGAAGGGGGCUAGCGUUGCUCGGAUUGACUGGGCGUAAAGGGCGCGUAGGCGGUUGGCACAGUCAGAUGUGAAAUUCCUGGGCUUAACCUGGGGGCUGCAUUUGAUACGUGUGAUCUAGAGUGAGGAAGAGGGUUGUGGAAUUCCCAGUGUAGAGGUGAAAUUCGUAGAUAUUGGGAAGAACACCGGUGGCGAAGGCGGCUCACUGGCUCAUUACUGACGCUCAGGCGCGAUAGCGUGGGGAUCAAACAGG
rnacentral:rRNA from 1 species